AGAGUUUGAUCAUGGCUCAGAUUGAACGCUGGCGGCAGGCCUAACACAUGCAAGUCGA
rnacentral:rRNA from 1 species